UUAGAGGAAGUAAAAGUCGUAACAAGGUUUCCGUAGGUGAACCUGCGGAAGGAUCAUUAAAGCGUGAUCAGGGGGUUUCAGAUGCCGCGCUCGCGUGUGCGCCCCCCGUCUUCUAGUCCCAUUUUCACACCUGUGCACCUAUGGUGAGCGCCUCCCGUUGGAGCCGUCCCGCGCUUUGUCGUCGGACCGGGGUGCUCCCAUCUUAAACCAUAUAUACACGUCUGUCUUAUAACGCAUGUCAACGUCCCACGGGGCAAAAAAGUUAAUACAACUUUCAACAACGGAUCUCUUGGCUUUUGCAUCGAUGAAGAACGCCGCGAAAGUGCGAAACGUAAUGUGAAUUGCAGAAUUCAGUGAAUCAUCGAAUCUUUGAACGCAUCUUGCGCCCCUUGGAAUUCCGAGGGGCAUGCCUGUUUGAGUGUCGUGAACCAUCCUCAAGCCUGCCUCUUUGUUGAGGCGCGCUUGGAUUUGGACGUCUGCGGGGGGGAGGGUGCCCGUCGGGUCCCGCCGCCCGCUCGUCUUUAAAUGCAUUAGCUUUGGUCUCGGUCCCGGCGAGGGUGUGAUAACAAACGCUCGUUUCGUUGACCGUGGCGCCGCUCGUUGGCGGCCGAGGCCUGCUUCCAAUCGUCUUCGGACAAACACGUGUGUACCCACGUACGCAAUGUCGUCUGACCUCAAAUCAGGUAGGACUACCCGCUGAACUU
rnacentral:rRNA from 1 species